AACGAACGUUGGCGGCGUGGCUUAGGCAUGCAAGUCGAACGAGAAAGUUUCCUUCGGGGAGCGAGUAUAGUGGCAAAAGGGUGAGUAAUGAUUAGUUAACCUACCCCUAAAACUGGGAUAACUACCCGAAAGGGUUGCUAAUACCGGAUGGUCUAUGAGAGAUGCAUAUCUUUUAUAGUAAAGGCGCUCGCAAGGGUGUCGAUUAGGGAGGGGAUUAAUUCCUAUUAGCUAGUUGGUGAGGUAAUGGCUCUACCAAGGCAUUGAUGGGUAACCGAUCUGAGAGGAUGACCGGUCACACUGGGACUGAGACACUGCCCAGACUCCUACGGGAGGCUGCAGUCGCGAAUAUUCCGCAAUGGACGCAAGUCUGACGGAGCGACGCCGCGUGUGGGAUGAAGGCCUUAGGGUUGUAAACCACUGUCACACUUUAAGAAAUCAAUUAGGGUAACUCCUAGUUGUUGACAAAGGAGUGGAAGGAAGUCACGGCUAACUACGUGCCAGCAGCCGCGGUAAGU
rnacentral:rRNA from 1 species